rnacentral:rRNA from 1 species
UACGAAGGGGGCUAGCGUUGUUCGGAAUCACUGGGCGUAAAGCGCAUGCAGGCGGAUUGUUAAGUCGGGGGUGAAAUCCCGAGGCUCAACCUCGGAACUGCCUUCGAUACUGGCAAUCUUGAGUCCGGGAGAGGUGAGUGGAACUGCGAGUGUAGAGGUGAAAUUCGUAGAUAUUCGGAAGAACACCAGUGGCGAAGGCGGCCAACUGGUCCGGCACUGACGCUGAGGUGCGAAAGCGUGGGGAGCAAACAGG